rnacentral:rRNA from 1 species
UACGUAGGGUGCGAGCGUUGUCCGGAAUUAUUGGGCGUAAAGGGCUCGUAGGCGGUUUGUCGCGUCGGGAGUGAAAACCAGGUGCUUAACACCUGGCUUGCUUUCGAUACGGGCAGACUAGAGGUAUUCAGGGGAGAACGGAAUUCCUGGUGUAGCGGUGAAAUGCGCAGAUAUCGGGAGGAACAUCAGUGGCGAAGGCGGCCUUCUGGUCCAGUACUGACACUCAAGUGCGAAAGCGUGGGGAGCAAACAGG